CAUGUCCUUUUGAUUAUAAUUUAAGGUCUAAUCUGCUCAAUGAAAGUUAAAUUGCCGCAGUAUUUUGACUGUGCAAAGGUAGCAUAAUAAUUAGUUUCUUGAUUAGGAACUGGGAUGAAUGAUUGGACAAGAAAAUUUCUGUCUCUUUUUUAAAUUUUUUGAAUUUUAUUUUUAAGUGAAAAAGCUUAAAUUUUUAUAAAAGACGAGAAGACCCUAUAGAGUUUGAUAUUUCUAUUUAAUUGAAUAUUGGAAUUAGAUUUUAAUUAGAUUUAUUUGGUUGGGGUGAUCUAAAGAUUAAAAAAAUUCUUUAAAAGUUUAAUUGAUGAUUUUUAAAUUUUAAAUCUACAGUUUGUAAAACUAAAAUAAAUUACCUUAGGGAUAACAGCGUAAUUUUUCUUUAAAGUUCUUAUUAAAAGAAAAGUUUGCGACCUCGAUGUUGGAUUAAAAUUAAUUUUUGGUGCAAUAACUUAAGAAUUAGGUCUGUUCGACCUUUAAAAUUUUACAUGAUCUGAGUUUAAACCGGUGUAAACCAGGUUGGAUUCUAUCUUUAGAAAGUUAAUAUAUUUUAGUACGAAAGGACCAAAUAUAUAUUAAAUUAAUU
rnacentral:rRNA from 1 species